CCUACGGGCGGCAGCAGUGAGGAAUAUUGGUCAAUGGUCGAGAGUCUGAACCAGCCAAGUAGCGUGAAGGAUGACUGCCCUAUGGGUUGUAAACUUCUUUUAUAUGGGAAUAAAAUGUUCCACGUGUGGGGUUUUGUAUGUACCCUAUGAAUAAGGAUCGGCUAAAUCCGUGCCAGCAGCCGCGGUAAUACGGAGGAUCCGGGCGUUAUCCGGAUUUAUUGGGUUUAAAGGGAGCGUAGGUGGAUUGUUAAGUGAGUUGUGAAAGUUUGCGGCUCAACCGUAAAAUUGCAGUUGAAACUGGCAGUCUUGAGUACAGUAGAGGUGGGCGGAAUUCGUGGUGUAGCGGUGAAAUGCUUAGAUAUCACGAAGAACUCCGAUUGCGAAGGCAGCAUACUGGACCGCAACUGACACUGAGGCUCGAAAGUGUGGGUAUCGAACAGGAUUAGAUACCCUUGUAGUC
rnacentral:rRNA from 1 species